CUUACAGUACCGUCAAGCUCGGACACGUCCGAGUGUUUCUUCCUUGUNUAAAAGCAGUUUACAACCCAUAGGGCAGUCUUCCUGCACGCGGCAUGGCUGGAUCAGAGUUGCCUCCAUUGUCCAAUAUUCCUCA
rnacentral:rRNA from 1 species